GCUGAAAGCAUCUAAGCGGGAAACUCGCCUUAAGAUGAGAUAUCCCUGGAGGCUUGACCUCCUUGAAGGGUCGUUCGAGACCAGGACGUUGAUAGGUCAGGUGUGUAAGCGCAGUAAUGCGUUCAGCUAACUGAUACUAAUUGCCCGUAAGGCUUGAUCCUAUAACCAGUCUGCG
rnacentral:rRNA from 1 species